AGGAGCUUAGAAUUCUAUGAAAAGUUCUUACAUUCUUAGGUCUGACUAUGAGGAAGGGAAAAUUGCAUGCCUCAUUUUCUUCAGAUAUAUAAAAUAAGUCACCUUGUUUUAGAGAUUGUGGUUACAUGUAGGAAAUCUAAAUUUAAAACACACACACACACACACACACACACACACACACACACACACAAUUUCUUAUUUUUGAAAGGAAAGGUCAAUAAUUCAGCAGACUCUGUCACAACUAGAGACGAAAGACACCCAAAGUAUCAUUUCCUCUUCUCUUUUACUGGAACCUUAAAUUCCUGUUGCCUCUCCUCCAGUGACUGUGAGUAUAACUGACAUUAAUUUAAAUGUCUUUGAACUUACUUAGUCAUCGGCUUUGGCAAAGAGGGAAUACUUACAAAAGGAAGUUCACUUAUUUUAGUUGUUAUCGUUAAAGCUUUUGUUUCUGAUCAGCCUAAGUCAAUCAGAGUAGGUUGGAAACCCAUGAGACAAAAAGGUGUUAAAUUGAUUUGGGGAGGUUGAUCAAGAAGCUGUUAUUUGUCUUCGACGUUGAGACCACAGACCUGUCUUCUAUGGGGUAUGGACCUCUGUAGCUGAUCUUGAUUUUCAGUGAGCUCUGGACAGCCCUUCCCUGGUUCCCUUUUGUGAUUGGUCCUUGAGGAAUAGCUUGACAGAGUUAAAUGAACAGGUUGUGAGAGUAAUUCACAUUUGUCUAUAAUAAGAAAUGAAAGAGA